rnacentral:rRNA from 1 species
UAUGGAUGGGGGAUGCGUCUGAUUAGCUUGUUUGGCGGGGUAACGGCCCACCCAAGGCUACGAUCCAGUAGGGGUUCUGAGAGGAAGGUCCCCCACAUUGGAACUGAGACACGGUCCAAACUCCUACGGGAGGCAGCAGUGAGGAAUAUUGGUCAAUGGGCGAGAGCCUGAACCAGCCAAGUAGCGUGCAGGAUGACGGCCCUAUGGGUUGUAAACUGCUUUUAUAUGGGAAUAAAGUGAGGGGACGUGUCCCUUAUUGCAUGUACCAUACGAAUAAGGACCGGCUAAUUCCGUGCCAGCAGCCGCGGUAAU